GUGCUCGCUUCAGCAGCACAUAUACUAAAAUUGGAACAAUACAGAGAAGUUUAACAUGGCCCCUGCACAAGAAUGACACAAAUUCAUGAAGUGUUCUAUAUUAUU